GUAAGGAGAGUGGACUACCAACUGUUACAUUGAAUGAUAUUAGUGAGAAAAAGAGUUACUGGCUAAAAGAUUUUUGCUGCUGUAAUUUAUCAGCUCCAACAUCUAAUUUAUUGCCUGAUGUACUUGAUCAGAGGCAUGCUUCUGUUAUACUAAAAGCAAUAAAAGAUCUUGUGGUUGAACUAGAAGAGUUUGGUAUUCAUCUUGGACUAAGCAAUGCUAUUAUUCAAGAGAUAAAGGUCAAUGCUCCUCAUGAAAUCCGGACAAGACGUAAAGAUAUCAUCAUUGCCUGGUUAGAGACAGGUACUGCUACUCGUAGUGGACUCAUCUCAGCACUUGAAGAUGUUGAAAGGGUUGACAUUGCAGCUGAAGUAAAAGAAUUACCAACUGUUUGAGCUAUGAAUCUAUUUUUUGCUAAUAUUGAUGUAGUUUUUGAAUUGUUCUGUGUGUGUUUAAUAUUACCCAGCCUUACACCACA
rnacentral:lncRNA from 1 species